rnacentral:rRNA from 1 species
AGCGAACGCUAGCGGCGGGCUUAACACAUGCAAGUCGAGCGGAGGGGCAACCCUUAGCGGCGGACGGGUGAGUAACACGUAGGUAACGUAUCCUCUGGUGGGGAAUAACCGUGGGAAACCAUGGCUAAUACCGCAUAUCGUAUGAAAGUAUGAAAGCCUUCGGGCGCCAGUUGAGCGGCCUGCGGCCCAUUAGUUAGUUGGCGGGGUAACGGCCCACCAAGACGAUGAUGGGUAGCUGGUCUGAGAGGAUGAUCAGCCACACUGGAACUGAGACACGGUCCAGACUCCUACGGGAGGCAGCAGUGGGGAAUAUUGCGCAAUGGGCGAAAGCCUGACGCAGCCACGCCGCGUGAGUGAUGAAGGCCU